CGCUGCUUGUAGCCGUAGCGGACACGGUGAUAUUUUCUUAAGAAAUAUAAGGAAAUGUAGCCGUGGCUUUUUUUAUGUUCAAUUUUGGGGAUAGUGU
rnacentral:tRNA from 1 species